AAUUCUAUAUUUUAAUGGUAGAAUACUACCUUCACACGGUAGAGACCCGAGAUCGAUACUCGGUAGAAUUA
rnacentral:tRNA from 1 species